rnacentral:rRNA from 1 species
UACGAAGGGUGCUAGCGUUGCUCGGAAUUACUGGGCGUAAAGGGUACGUAGGCGGCUUUCUAAGUCUGGGGUGAAAUCCUGGAGCUCAACUCCAGAACUGCCGUUGAUACUGAGGAGCUUGAGUCCGGGAGAGGUAAGUGGAACUGCGAGUGUAGAGGUGAAAUUCGUAGAUAUUCGCAAGAACACCAGUGGCGAAGGCGGCUCACUGGCCCGGUACUGACGCUGAGGUGCGAAAGCGUGGGGAGCAAACAGG